GUUUCAUUCAGGUGAUCCUAAUUCCUGGAAUGAUACAGAGAAGAUUAUCAUGGCCCCUGCACACGAAUGACACAGAGAUCCUAAUUAUAAGCCCAUAAUGGAU